GGGGCCUUGGUGAAGUAGGAUCACGUGAGAAUGGCAUUCUCAAGUUGCGGGUGCGAUUCCCGCAGGCUCCACAA
rnacentral:tRNA from 1 species